UACGUAGGUGGCGAGCGUUGUCCGGAAUUACUGGGCGUAAAGGGCGUGUAGGCGGUUUUUUAAGUCAGGCGUGAAAACCCGAGGCUUAACCACGGGAUUGCGUUUGAGACUGGAAGACUUGAGGAUCGGAGAGGGCAGUGGAAUUCCCAGUGUAGCGGUGAAAUGCGUAGAUAUUGGGAGGAACACCAGUGGCGAAGGCGGCUGCCUGGACGACACCUGACGCUGAGGCGCGAAAGCUAGGGGAGCAAAC
rnacentral:rRNA from 1 species